AUGGUGCAUUUCAUUUCGUCAGCAUGCACAGUUUUGGGCAUCUCUGGAAUCACAGAUAAGGAAACAGAGGAUCAGAGAAGUUCUACCUCCUACCCAAGCGACCCGAAUCUAGACUCUAAUUCCCUGUGGACACAGCCUGCACAGAGGAGACAAGAAGGAGGGGAAAGGAAGUCAGCUGGGCAGGAGAAGGUGGGAGUGAGCGUGGGGAGCACCACCUCGCCAGGACCCCAAAUGCUGGGCGCAGGUCUGGUCAGAUUCCAAGGGCUGGGAGGCUGGGGCCUCAGUGUGUGUGUGGGGGGUUCCGAUGCCCUGACCAGGAGAAACCCAGGACCCCGACAGGCCCUCACCUGUUCCUACCUCACUGCUCAUGCACGGCACAGGGACAAAGGGGAGAGACCCUGCGGGUGCGCAGGGGAGCGGCAGGGUGGCCCGUGUGAAUGUAACCCACAAAUGACCUUAAUGAGCCUCUUCUUUGCUAAUUAGCAGGUCCACAGAACGAGACCAGCCAAGGCCAGUUUGUCCCAGCAAGCCCCGGCAGGCCUGACCCAGGCGCAGAGAGAGGCCUUUGUCCAAGGGCAGAGGGGACACAAGGUUGGGCUGGGGUAGCUUCGGCGAGGGUAGGAAGGGGGCACACAGCACACAGGCCCCUGUUUCCUAGCUAGGUCUGCAGCUCAAUGUCCAGCACAGUGGGACAACUGCCUCGUGCCCAACCAGCCAGCCUGAUCGUCCCAGGAGAGCCGGGAGUGGUGAUGCACAUCUGUGAUCCCAGCACCCGGAGGCUGAGGCAGAACAGUGGCUGUGAUUUUGAGGCCAGCCUGGAUUAGCUAGCAAGACCCUGUCUCAAAAAAACAAAAACCAAACGGUCCCAGGAGAGGGCUGGGGGUGCGAACAGCUCAGCGGCAGGGUCCUUGCCUAGCAGGCAUAGGAGCGGGGAUCCAUCCCCAGUCCUGUCAAAAAAAAUGAGGGGGGGUAGCCAGGGCUUGGGGGACACUUAAAUAAAUGUUGAGCUGCCAUUGGCUGAGGUGACUCUGAGCCACUUCAUGCUUCUGAGCAUUCUGAGCCUUCCGCGUCUGUUUUUUCAAGUGGGAAGAGCUUUCAGAGCUGUCAAUGAUAAGCAGUCCACCGCUGCACGCCUGCCAUGGGUUUGCCGCCAUUGCCCUAGGUGGUCUUUAGCACAGGGCCUAGGUCAGGAAACGGUACCCAAUAAUAACGAUCCUGUUGUUGUUGUUAUUUUAUUGGCUGGGAGAGAAAGGGCAGCCCGAGCGGGUUCGCAGGGUGAAGGUGACCACAGCGAGGCGCUUACGUAAAGGGCGGCGCGAGGGCAUGUGCGCAUGUGUGUACCACGUAGCCCUCCGCGCAUCUCCCGAGGCCAGUACCUUUCCAGCCCUGCAAAGCACAGAUCUGCUUCUUGCAAGCCGGAAAUGAGUGCUCAGCUCCGUGGGGUCACAGUUUUCCAGGCUUUCCUGAUAAGGAACUGCCACAUGCCCUGCACUCUUAUUUUCAAUCCAGUCCCACUGUCUUUUUAAGAGUGAGUGUUUCCAGGUCCCCAGUGCCACAUGGGAAAGGAAAACCGGGACUCUCCAACCUGGCUUCACCCCCCUGCAUUUUAAAGAAGUGUGCUUAGCCAGGUGUGGCGGUGCACACCUGUAAUCUCAGCCCUUGGGAGGCUGAGGCAGGAGGAUCGUUGCAAGUUCGAGGCCAGCCUGGGCCACAAAGUGAACUCAAAGCCAGCUUGAACCACAUAGCGAGACCCUGUCUCAAAAAGACAAAAAAAAAAAAAAAAAAAAGUCCUAGCUGGGUGUGGUGGUACAUGCCUCAGGAGGCUGAGGCAGGAAUGUCUCAAAUUCAAGGCCAGCCUGAGCUACACAGUGAACUGCAUAUGUCCAAAUCCUGUCACAAAACAAAACAAAUGAAACAAAGAAUAGUCUUUUUUUUUUUUUUUCCCGUCUUUUGAGACAAGGUCUCACUAUGCAGUUCAGGCUGGCCUUGAGCUCACUUUGUAGCCCAGGGUGGUCUCGAACUUGCAGUGAUCCUUCUGCCUCAGCCUCCCAAGUGCUGGGAUUACAGGCGUGCACCACCACGCCCGGCAAAGAAUAGUCUUGAGUGAGGCUUGGUGUCCUACGCCUAUAAUCCCAGUACUUGAGAGGCUGAGGCAGGAGGAUCACAAAUUCAAGGCCAGCCUGGCUACACAGCAAGUCCUUGUUUCAAAAAAAAAAAAAAAAAAUCCUAGGUGGUUAUGAUGAAACCACUUUGACACGCCAGGAACAGGGCUGCAGGCAGAGUCCCCCAUUUGGCCAAAGCCCAUUUCCUUAUCAGGGAUUCAAAAAGAUCCGCCUCUCUGCUUUCUCAGGCAGUUGAAGCACAAUUAUGGAGACUUUAAAGAGCCUGUUUGGGUUGUGGGAGGGAAGAGAGCUUAAUUUGGAUCGUGAUUGCAUUCAGUGAGGUCUUCUCAUUGCUCCAGUGCAUGGAGGAAAUGCUUCAUUUUUUUUCUGAGACACAGUCUCACUAGUUCAGGCUGGCCUGGAAGUCGUGGCAAUCCUCCUGCCGCAGCCUCUCAAGGACUGAGAUGAUAGGCCGGCCAGGCCUGGCUAGGAAAGUCUUUAAAGAGAGCUCUACCCGACAUCCCCUCCGCAGGGCUGCAGCACAGGCUCCCACUCACUCAGAUCCCUAAUGUGCCCCUGUCCGCCCCCACCCCACCCCAUCCACAGCCUAUUUUCCCAAGACCCACGAGGAUCUCAUCCCAGAGUGUCACAGACUCCAGGGCCCCUGGGCGCCCAGACCCCCACUGUCUCAGUCCGCAGAGCCUCCAUGGGCACAAGCACAGGGGGGAAGCCGGGGGAGGGGAGACCCGAGGACAGCAAGGGGUCUCCACCCGCUCUCCCCAGGGGCCGGGCGGGAAUGAGUCCAGGGCUGCCGUCCA
ensembl:lincRNA